rnacentral:rRNA from 1 species
GAACUUAAGCAUAUCAAUAAGCGGAGGAAAAGAAACCAACAGGGAUUGCCUCAGUAACGGCGAGUGAAGCGGCAACAGCUCAAAUUUGAAAUCUGGCUCACGCCCGAGUUGUAAUUUGUAGAGGAUGUUUCGGGUGAAGCCGCGGUCCAAGUCCCUUGGAACAGGACGUCAUAGAGGGUGAGAACCCCGUACCUGGCCGCCGGUGCCCCCCGCUGUGAAACUCCUUCGACGAGUCGAGUUGUUUGGGAAUGCAGCUCUAAAUUGGUGGUAAAUUCCAUCUAAAGCUAAAUACCGGCCAGAGACCGAUAGCGCACAAGUAGAGUGAUCGAAAGAUGAAAAGCACUUUGAAAAGAGAGUUAAAAAGUACGUGAAAUUGUUGAAAGGGAAGCGCUUGCGGCCAGACUUGCCUGCAGUUGCUCAGCCCGCCUUUUGGCGGGUGCACUCUUCUGCAGUCAGGCCAGCAUCGGUUUGGGCGGUCGGAUAAAGGCGUUGGGAACGUGGCCUCCCCUCGGGGAGGUGUUAUAGCCCGGCGCGCAAUGCGACCAGCCCGGACCGAGGUUCGCGCUUUGCUAGGAUGCUGGCGUAAUGGCCGUAAGCGGCCCGUCUUGAAACACGGACCAAGGAGUCUAACAUCUAUGCGAGUGUUUGGGUGUCAAACCCGUGCGCGUAAUGAAAGUGAACGGAGGUGGGAACCGCAAGGUGCACCAUCGACCGAUCCUGAUGUCUUCGGAAGGAUUUGAGUAAGAGCAUAGCUGUUGGGACCCGAAA